rnacentral:lncRNA from 1 species
AAAAAUGUGUUAAGCAGCAGGUUCCCUGGUUACCCUUACUUGCUCUAGAACCAAAGGUAUCUGAUCAUUGUGGGAGGUGCUAAGCAAACAUCAAAAUUGGUUUAUAUAUACAAGACAGUUGUCUGGGGUGAGGAGAGCUGGUUAGAUGAACCCAAUUAACAGCAACCUGUAAUCACUUAGAAAGCCCAGGUAUGUUUUACCUGAAAGUAAUUUGGUCAUUAAACCGCUGCAUUAUAAAUUUUUAAUAACUGUUUCUAGGCUGGGGAUGUAGCUCGGUGGUAGAGUACUUGCCUGGCAUGUGAGAGGUCUUGGGUUCAAUCCUCAAU